UGAAGGCGUUCCCCUCGGCCGAGUGACGUCUGGCGCACAUAUUGCUGAGGGUGUGGCGAGAAUGGAGAGCGGGUCAGCCCACUCUGUCGCGACGAGUUUGGCGCGGCUUUCAAGGUUCGUCGGUGAUUGACAGGAUGCAAUGGAUCCUGGGAAAUGUAGCCUCUAUCAUGCGUGGCAGUCGGGCGCUUGACUGUAGACUGUAUGAUCUGCGGCAGACAUCUCUCAUCGCGGCCCACUGACACCGACAAGUAUUUAUCCGGCUGUCCAAAUGCAACACCCAGAUGUCUCCACGGAACCUUCUCCGAUGCGGAUCCCACCACCACCGGAACACUGUCUCUCGUCACCGGCUG